GACGAAAUAGUUCAGUAGGUAGAACAACAGGAUCAUAAUCUGUGUGUCGGGGGUUCAAGUCCCUCUUUCGUCA
rnacentral:tRNA from 4 species